AUUGAACGCUGGCGGCAGGCCUAACACAUGCAAGUCGAGCGAGCGGCGGACGGGUGAGAAAUGUAUGGGGACUGCCCGCUAGAGGGGGAUAACUACUGGAAACGGUAUCUAAUACAGCAUACUAUCGGAUAACCCAUAUGGGAUUAGCUAGUAGGUGAGGUAAUGGCUCACCUAUGCGACGCUCCCUAGCUGGUCUGAGAGGAUGAUAAGCCACACUGGGACUGAGACACGGCCCAGACUCCUACGGAGGCAGCAGUGGGGAAUAUUGCACAAUGGGCGCAAGCCUGAUGCAGCCAUGCCGCGUGUAUGAAGAAGGCCUUAGGGUUGUAAAGUACUUUCAGUCGGGAGGCGGUACCUACAGAAGAAGCACCGGCUAACUCCGUGACAGCAGCCGCGGUAAUUC
rnacentral:rRNA from 1 species